UGUUUAUGAAAUUCUACCAUGAAAUAGCAUGAUCUUAUGAAUGUUAUGUUUUGAUUUGAUGUUUUAAUAUGAUGUUAAAACAUUGUAAAAAGCAUGAUUUUUGUAGGUUAACAUGUUUUUUUUUAAGAUUCAUGUUGAAAAUCAUGUGUUAUUCAGAAAAGUUUUUUGGUCACUGCCUUCAGACAAUCGAUUGUUGCCUUACACAAUCCAUUGUCGGUGACAGUAUUCUGGCAGUUUUUUUGGAACACCAGACAAUCGAUUGUCAGAUCCAGACAAUCGAUUGUCAUGGUCCAGUGGAAACGUUUUAAAUUAUACCAUACAAUCGAUUGUCUGGUUUCGACAAUCGAUUGUUUGUGGUCCAGUAACAUUCAUAAAACCAAAACAAUCGAUUGUCUGGUUUUGACAAUCGAUUGUGUAUGGUCUAGUAACUUUUUCAUAAAACCAAAACAAUCGAUUGUCUGGUUUUUACAAUCGAUUGUGUAUGGUCCAGAAAUUUUUCAUAAAACCAAAACAAUCGAUUGUCUGUAUUUGACAAUCGAUUGUGUUGGUCCAGAGUUUUAUAAAAACCAAAACAAUCGAUUGUCUGGUUUUGACAAUCGAUUGUGUUGGUCGAGUAGAAAAAUUUUUCUUUAAGCCAAAGAUAAUCGAUUAUCUAUUGCUUAUAAUCGAUUGUUUUUGUCCAGUAAGGUUAAAAACGUUUCAACUCUCUCAAGUUUCACUGAAUAUUAAUUGUUUUAAAGUCCAUCAAUUCUAAUUAUAUUAUAUAGAAUUGUCCGAUUCAGUUAACAACGAUUAAUAUUCAAGUGUUACACAUCAAAACAUG
rnacentral:lncRNA from 1 species